UACAGAGGUCCCAAGCGUUGUUCGGAUUCACUGGGCGUAAAGGGUGCGUAGGUGGCGAGGUAAGUCGGAUGUGAAAGCUCGGAGCUCAACUCCGAAAUGGCAUUGGAAACUACCUUGCUCGAGGGUCGGAGGGGGGACUGGAAUACUUGGUGUAGCAGUGAAAUGCGUAGAUAUCAAGUGGAACACCGGUGGCGAAGGCGGUUCUCUGGGCCUUACCUGACGCUGAGGAGCGAAAGCGUGGGUAGCGAACAGG
rnacentral:rRNA from 1 species